ACGGGGAUACCGGGAUACCGGGAUACCGGGAUGAAGGGAGCCAUUCACUGUUACAUCCCCUUGCAUGCUACCCCAGCAGUGACUGAACAGGGGUUACAUCCAUGUGGCAGAACAUCACAUCAGCCCAGCACCACUCUGGGCCUCCUGUGACAGCUCCAGUGACCCACAGCUCUGGGAUGAGUCUGCCCAGCAUGGGAAUCCAGCAGGAAAUUCUGACAGUGAUAGGAGGAAAAGACACAGUUUUUUGUUGGCCUGGUGAGUUGAUUCACUCAUGUGACCACUGUUUAAGGGAAUGAGAGGAAAACAAAAUGAGAAAGCUGCCCCUUCUGGCAGCCACCCACACAUAACGCUGAGCUGCUCUGACUCAAAUCAGAUGGACGCCUUCCUCUACUCGAAAAAACCCCAAAACCAUCUAUUUUCUGUUAAUGUGCUAAGUCUGCUGUCACAGUUUGAUUCUCUGUUGUCUGCACACCUCACCACUCUUGCCAAGGCUGGUGUCAGCCUGGCUCAGCUUCUGUCCCUGCUCACCCGGGACACACCAGCCACUGGGUUUUGUGGAAUGACUCAGCAGUAACUUCCCCUGAUUCUCUGGAAAUUCAGUGAUGCAGUAUUUACUGAGAAAUCAGGACUAAGAGCUUGGUGAUCUUCUCAGGCAAUUCUUAAAAUUCUUUUGCAUGGAAGUUUUAAAGAUGGGUAUGAACCAGUGGUUUUCAUUCACUCUGGUUACGUAUGAAAGACCAUGUGAAAUACCUCCAAUAUGGUGACACUGCUGUGUCAAUUUUUUAAACAAAGAACAGAAAAAUUACUGAAUAAUUUCAGAGGUUUUUUUCAUUGAAUUGCAAUUUUUGUUGUCCAACAUCCAACCGACCUAAAUCACUGCUAUCCUUGCCCAUUGCAAUCAGCUUGCAAAAUUCCCAUCUAUAUAUGUCUUUAUUGUUGCCUAUUCUUCCCUUUUGAGCAAGAUGUUUUGUUUCAAAACCAGAAAAGCCUCCUUUGAUGCCACUGAAAUUGUGCACAUUUGAGUCACCUAACAACACACUGAUGGAGGACUGCCCCAGGUUCCAUUUGGAUCACACUGAGGUAGUUCCUCAGGCUCACUUUUUCUCAUAACCUCUUUCAGCCUCGCGAACUUGCUAGCAGUGUCCCCAGUGGAGUCAUAGGAACGUGGGGAGUGUGAAAGGGGUCCCCUUCUGCCUGGGUGUUGGAAAAGCAGAGGUAAAACAUAUUAGUACAAGUAGCUUUCUAGGUCAUACAGACUUAUACACUACUAUGAUGAGGAGAAGCCAAGCAGAUUUUUUUUUUUUUUGGAUGAAGUACUCACUGGUAAAAAGAGCCUAUCUUAUGACUCAGAGGAAAAAUAUUAUGAAAUUAUUAGUGCUAUUAAACAGAAGCUCUUACUCUAUCAUUCCCUAUUAGUAAAAGGAGUUAAAAGGUUUGCUUUGAUAUAUACAUUUCUAUGUUCUUCAUGAAAAUGCCUUUAGUAAUUUUCAAUUAAAGAUUAAUUUCUCAUCACAUUUUUCAACCCAUUGUAUAUUCUAAUGUAUUAUCUUUAUCCCCAUUAGAAGGUUUCCCUUAACACCUAAUUGCUUUUCUUUUUCAGUCACUGGCAAAUUUGAACUCGUUUAUUGCUUCACAAACCUCAAACCAUGCAGGCUUUUAUUAACUCAGAGAUUAAUUUUGUGGUUGGCACACUCCCUGCUUUCCAGCUCUCUUGGCAUCGCUCUGGUUUGUACUGCUGGAAGUGCCUGGCAACCUCAGCUCUCCUGCAGCAUUCCUGGCUGCAGCUUCCCUAGGGAAGAGAGGGCUCCCAGGGCAUCACGAGUUAUUUCUAGGCAUACACCUAGAAAUCACAGCAUUCAGUGCUUUUAAAACAUCAGGUGUUUUACCUGGUAGAAAAAAAUAAAUUAAAUUGUGAGAGAAAUUACAAGAAAAACAACAUUUUUUUUCUCCAUUCUGUUCACCUUAGAGGGAUUGGUGAGCAGGAGGAAAUGAGCCAGAGAGAACAAUCCAGGAUUGUCAGUGCUUCUGGAAAUGUUAUGGCCAUUCACAGACAGUGUAAUUCCUCCAGACUUUGCUCUGGGAGGAGGUGAGCAGCUUGGGGCUUGAGGACAGGAGGAGUGCUAAGUCCUGCAGCCUUUCUUAACGGGCUUCCCAUGAUGAUUUUGAUGGCAUAAUUACAUAUAUUCCACCUGAAACCUUAACUGGGUGCAAGUCCCACUUAAUAAUAAAACGUACAAGUAAUUUACAGCUUUCUGCGACCAGAACAUUUCUUACACAUUUCUCAAUUUCUCAAUUGCUCCCUCCCAUCACCUUUUACCCAGUGUCGAGGGCGUUUGCUGUUUUCUGUGUCUGGCUUUGCCCCACCAAACCCUGCACUCUCUCCCAGGUGAGGCACAAAUGAGCUGAACAAUCCUUAUUAAGUGUACAGCAUUUAGUGAGUCUCAGACUGACUAAUCACAUUUUAUGUGCUUUCCCAGUCUGACUGUACUCACUGUUAUCUCCCAUCUGUAACUGUAAAUCCUCCAGGGCAGAGAUCAGCACUGUUACUUGUUGUAUAUUACCUAGCUGAAAGGAGCCAAGGAUUUUAUGUGCUUUGGCAAUAAACAGCAUAAAUAUCAUUAUGCUUUAAGAACUUUUGUGAAGUUUUUCUCCUUUGCGCAUGGUUUCUAAAUCAGGCAGGACAAAAACCUAUCUGGGGAUCACAUUUAUGUAUGAAACCUAUCUUGUGCCAAAACUAAGAUAUCCAAGUAGCAGAGAAAAUAAAUCAGAAACUACUGUU